AUUUAUUUCAUAUCAUAGCUCUACAUUCUUUGUGUUUAUAUUGUUACAUGUUUACAAUCUUACACACGCCACUUUACCUUCUUAAAGUAUACAAGUAUUAUUUUCUAAAGUAUACAAGUUUUGUGACGUUUUCGCUCAAUACAAAAGAUGUGAAGACUUUAAGUUAUUCAUUCAAAUCACAGUCUCUUUUGAAAAUCAAAAUUUGACAGACCCUCUUUGUGGAAAAAUUUACAGUUUGUUACCCCAAUACUUUAAAAUGUAUAAACUCCUUCUCAAUGUUUCGUUUAACUGGAAAUAAACACUUAUAAUACAUC
rnacentral:misc_RNA from 1 species